rnacentral:rRNA from 1 species
GAUGAACGCUGGCUACAGGCUUAACACAUGCAAGUCGAGGGGAAACGACGGGGAAGCUUGCUUCCCCGGGCGUCGACCGGCGCACGGGUGAGUAACGCGUAUCCAACCUGCCUCUGACUGAGGGAUAACCCGUCGAAAGUCGGCCUAAUACCUCAUGGUAUCGUCUGCGGGCAUCCAACGACGAUUAAAGAUUUCAUCGGUCAGGGAUGGGGAUGCGUCUGAUUAGCUUGUUGGCGGGGUAACGGCCCACCAAGGCUACGAUCAGUAGGGGUUCUGAGAGGAAGGUCCCCCACAUGGGAACUGAGACACGGUCCAAACUCCUACGGGAGGCAGCAGUGAGGAAUAUUGGUCAAUGGGCGAGAGCCUGAACCAGCCAAGUAGCGUGCAGGAAGACGGCCCUAUGGGUUGUAAACUGCUUUUAGGCGGGGAUAAAGUGAGGGACGUGUCCCUCAUUGCAGGUACCGCAUGAAUAAGGACCGGCUAAUUCCGUG